rnacentral:rRNA from 1 species
GGAGUUUGGUCCGUGUCUCAGUACCAAUGUGGGGGACCUUCCUCUCAGAACCCCUACUGAUCGAUGGCUCGGUGGGCCGUUACCCCGCCGACUACCUAAUCAGACGCAUCCCCAUCCCAUAGCGGUAAACCUUUGCUCCUCGUCAGAUGCCAUCAAAAAAAAGGGAACAUAGGGC